GGGUGAGUGGCAGACGGGUGAGUAACACGUGGGAACGUACCUUUUAGUUCGGAAUAACUCAGGGAAACUUGUGCUAAUACCGGAUACGCCCUUAGGGGGAAAGAUUUAUCGCUGAAAGAUCGGCCCGCGUCUGAUUAGCUAGUUGGUGAGGUAAAGGCUCACCAAGGCGACGAUCAGUAGCUGGUCUGAGAGGAUGAUCAGCCACACUGGGACUGAGACACGGCCCAGACUCCUACGGGAGGCAGCAGUGGGGAAUAUUGGACAAUGGGCGCAAGCCUGAUCCAGCCAUGCCGCGUGAGUGAUGAAGGCCUUAGGGUUGUAAAGCUCUUUCGGCGGGGACGAUAAUGACGGUACCCGCAGAAGAAGCCCCGGCUAACUUCGUGCCAGCAGCCGCGGUAAUACGAAGGGGGCUAGCGUUGCUUGGAAUCACUGGGCGUAAAGGGCGCGUAGGCGGCCGUAUAAGUCGGGGGUGAAAGCCUGUGGCUCAACCACAGAAUUGCCUUCGAUACUGUAUGGCUAGAGACCGGAAGAGGUAAGUGGAACUGCGAGUGUAGAGGUGAAAUUCGUAGAUAUUCGCAAGAACACCAGUGGCGAAGGCGGCUUACUGGUCCGGUUCUGACGCUGAGGCGCGAAAGCGUG
rnacentral:rRNA from 1 species